rnacentral:misc_RNA from 1 species
GAUGAAGACGUAGCGAAAUGCGAUACGUAAUGUGAAUUGCAGAAUUCAGUGAAUCAUCGAAUCUUUGAACGCAUAUUGCGCUCUCUGGUAUUCCGGAGAGCAUGCUUGUUUGAGUAUCAGUAAACACCUCAACUCCCUUUUCUUUUUUGAAAUUGGAGCUGGACUUGAGUGAUCCCAACGCUUUCUUCCAAGAAAGUGGCGGGUUGCUUGAAAUGCAGGUGCAGCUGAACUUUUCUCUGAGCUAUAAGCAUAUCUAUUUAGUCUGCCUAAAAAACAGAUUAUUACCUUUGCUGCAGCUAACAUAAAGGAGACUAGUUCUUGUGCUGACUGAUGCAGGAUUCACAGAGACAGCUUCGGCUGACUUUGUAAACUCGAUCUCAAAUCAAGUAAGACUACCCGCUGAACUUAAGCAUAUCAAUAAGCGGAGGA